rnacentral:rRNA from 1 species
GAUCAUGGCUCAGGAUGAACGCUAGCUACAGGCUUAACACAUGCAAGUCGAGGGGCAGCAUGGUNUUAGCUUGCUAAGGCCGAUGGCGACCGGCGCACGGGUGAGUAACACGUAUCCAACCUGCCGUCUACUCUUGGACAGCCUUCUGAAGGGAAGAUUAAUACAAGAUGGCAUCAUGAGUCCGCAUGUUCACAUGAUUAAAGGUAUUCCGGUAGACGAUGGGGA